rnacentral:snRNA from 1 species
GGAGUUAGAAACUGGACAGGGGAAACCUUUACCUUUUUAUUGAUCUUAAGGAUUGAUUUGGCUGAUCUGGCAAAUUCAGUGGCUGAUUCCCCCUGCCUUCACCACUCCAUGUGUGUCCCUCCUGAAACUACACCCUCGGAGGUCACGUCAGAUCACCCCAGAUAGAUCAAGGGAGUGCAAGAAACUGCAGUUCCCUGCUAGAAUCUCCAAAAUCCAUUUAUAGGACACUUGAUGUAUUGUAGAGCUAAUUGACCACCUGGGUGUCAAACAUCUGUACUUUAGACUUAGAGAAAUAUUC